GGUUUGGUGCGCCAUUUUGUCUUUUUUUUGCGUGGCGUGCGAGUGCCUGUGCAACGCGCGUGUGUGCUUUGGAGCUGCAGCCUCAAGUCGAGUGCACGGGUAAAGGUUCACAGGACAGGUCUGAAAGGUCAACCUCAAUCAUAUUUGGCUGUGGAUAUCACUGCAACUUUGGCACUCGACCAAGCGAGGUACAUUGGACAGAUCAACCGG